GUGGAGGUAGAAGGCUCACGGGUGGUGAUUCUUUUCCCGGAGAAGAAGUAGUGACAUUAUCUAGGGAAUAAGCAUCAGCUAACUCAGUGCCAGCAGCCACGAUAAUACAGAGGAUAC
rnacentral:ncRNA from 1 species